GAUGAACGCUGGCGGCGUGCCUAAUACAUGCAAGUCGAGCGAACGGACGAGAAGCUUGCUUCUCUGAUGUUAGCGGCGGACGGGUGAGUAACACGUGGAUAACCUACCUAUAAGACUGGGAUAACUUCGGGAAACCGGAGCUAAUACCGGAUAAUAUUUUGAACCGCAUGGUUCAAAAGUGAAAGACGGUCUUGCUGUCACUUAUAGAUGGAUCCGCGCUGCAUUGGCUAGUUGGUAAGGUAACGGCUUACCAAGGCAACGAUGCAUAGCCGACCUGGGAGGGUGAUCGGCCACACUGGAACUGAGACACGGUCCAGACUCCUACGGGAGGCAGCAGUAGGGAAUCUUCCGCAAUGGGCGAAAGCCUGCCGGAGCAACGCCGCGUGAGUGAUGAAGGUCUUCGGAUCGUAAAACUCUGUUAUUAGGGAAGACCAUAUGUGUAAGUAACUGUGCACAUCUUGACGGUACCUAAUCAGAAAGCCACGGCUAACUACGUG
rnacentral:rRNA from 1 species